rnacentral:rRNA from 1 species
GACAGAGGUCUCAAGCGUUAGGCGGAAUCACUGGGCUUAAAGCGUGUGUAGGCGGAUGGGUAAGUACCUUGUGAAAUCCCACGGCUCAACCGUGGAACUGCUCGGUAUACUGCUCGUCUUGAGCCAACUAGGGGCGACCGGAACAAACGGUGGAGCGGUGAAAUGCGUAGAUAUCGUUUGGAACGCCGAUGGUGAAAACAGGUCGCUGGGGUUGUGCUGACGCUGAGACACGAAAGCCAGGGGAGCGAACGGG